UGGACAGGGUUUGUCAUUAAAGGGACCACUCUGGAUUUCAUAAUAACUGGGAGCUUGACGGGAGGUAAUGGCAGCGGUGACGGAGUAGUAAAGGGACCGGACGUGUUACGAAAGAGGCGGUAAGCCGUCGUACCUUCCAAGAGAUACUGCUUAUACACUUCCAUAUACUGUACCGUCAUUUAUAUGGAUUUAGUUUACAGUGCUUCUAUUGUUUUAGUGAUUUGGCUGUUUAAUUAUGAUUUGUUUCAAACUAUUAUACGGUUGUUGUUGUUUUUCUAUUAAAGGAGAUCAUUUUUCGCAUGAUUGUGACUUUAUAAUCGCGAUCUAGGCUAGUGCGCAAUUUCCAGCGUUGUUUCUAACGUUACCCGGAAAUAAGCAGGGUGUUUGAUCACAGCUGUUUCCUUAUGAAACAUGUCUGGGGUGGAUUUGUGCCAGAUUUUUCUUCAGAGCCAGCGAGAGGGCAGGAGAGCAGGGUGGGAUGGAGAGGUGUGCUGGAGGCUUGCUGCAGGAGGGUGUUGCGCACUUCAAUAUACCUCCAGCAGUGAGUGCGUCUUUGCAGCCAUGCGGUACUGCGUAAUGAUUUAAUUUAUGUAGUAGAUGUUGUUAUUGUCUGUCUAUGCUAUUGGUUAGUCGUAGUUUAGACUUGAAUAUGGUUGAUUUAAACUUUUUAUAUCUUUGAAUGUUAAUGUUAAGUUUUAAAGUUACAGAGGAGGGGAAUUACUUUUAACUAGUUGUCAUUUACAAAAAAACAUCAUUCAUAAGGAAAAUAAUAUUUUGGCUACCUUUUCAAGAAUGUUAAAUUAUACACUUUGAAAUGCGUCACUAUUGCAUCCUGCUGUAUGUAGUUAAUACUAUUUGCAGCUGAGCAUACUGCAUUUAAAUUGUAACAUAAUGUAAAAUAAGUUGCCACUUCAUUCAACAGCAUUUUGUUGAAUAUAGACCUAAAGUUAAAAUGUUAUAAGAUUGCUUUUCCCACUGUGCAUUUGCAGAAAUAUGUCCUUCCAAUAGUUAAAGAAAAGCCACUGUAUUAUUGAUUCUUUCUAAAGAUGCUUUUAUGGUUUGUCAACAUUAAGUGCGUGCGCCUCCUGUGCCAAUACCUUGACUCAGAUCCAUCCAUCCAGAGGUUUCUAUGUCAUACGCACUUUUUAUUCCUGAUGUAAACAAACCCUCCAAAAGCAAUACCCUUACUUAACACAGGGUGGCAUAUUUGUGCAGGCUUAGAUCUUUUACAGCGCAUGAAGUUAUUCAGAUACAGUCUUCUUGGAAUGAGUCGGAUAUUAUUAGCAUUAAUGCAGCACUAAUGAGUGAUGGCAAAACAGCAGUUUGAACUACAUCAGAGCAAGUGAAUGUAUGUUUCUGUUCAUUUUGUGCCCUGUAACUUUGUUGACAGGAGAACUUGACGCAUCCAUCGGUCUCCUGACGUCAAAACCCCAAUCCGACUGCAGUCGAUUGACCGAUGUGAUUUGCUGACUGCUUCAGAGGCACAGUAAGAGAACAUGUUGUUCAAUGGUUCAGUUAACCUGUUUUAUAGUAUUCAAGUGCGAGGUGGAGCUAGUGGUAAAUGGUCAUUUUCAACAUCAAAGUGUCACAUUAUACCUCUACAACGGUCACUUUUCUCUGACUUUGUCCAACAAUCUGAUGCCAGAAACAACUGAGCUAAAGGCUGAAUGGAGACCUUUUAGUUCACUGCGUAGUACGUUUGACACGUCUCAAAAUAACGGCUGGGAUUUCCUCAGGACCUGACGAGGAUGACGCUCUUCUUUUCCGUCAUACAGUGCCUGAUGCUGGAGCGCGUGCUGUCAUCUCCAGAGAGAGCCUGUUUGCAUUCUUCUGAGUGUUUACUGGAAACCAGCCCCUUCAGUCUGAUUUCCAUAACACAUGAUGAAUCAUCUGAUCGAGUGGCCGGAGAGCAACACACUAUCAUCCUCACUGUUCUACCGAGCAGCAGAGAGAAGUGGACUAAUCGAUAUCUGUAUGCAUAGAGCUGCAGGUGAGCUUGAAAGAAAGUUGCAGUGUUUUGUGUGUGUGUGUGUGUGUUCUUGUUUUGGCCAUUCACACAUCUGCGAAGCUCGGAUCAAGUAUCGGAUCAGUCGCGUGGGUGUGUUGGAGACAAAUGGGUUGUGUGAGAGAGAGAGGUGUGUUCUGGUGCCUUCUCGGUGGUUUUCUAUUUCAUCUCUCUCUCUCGCUUGCUCUCCCUUCAUCUGCUUCCCUCCUCUCUGCUUUCUGUCCUGAAUCAGAGCGGUGAAUCAAGCUUCUUCCUGGGCGAGAGCGUCAACCGAAACCAUCCCAGCGUGCAUUACAUUUGAAGUCUCUGACAGUCUCCCAGGAUGCUGAUGGGCUUCUGUCAAAAUCAAGGUAGAGACAGACAACAUUGAAACGCCUAUCACUAAUUCAUCAGCGUAAUGGAAACCAAUGUUUAAAAAACAAAUUGUUCAACUUGCAAACGGUAAGGCCUCCAGGUGAACCAAGACUUAACACGGCAGCGCAUCUAACAGCUGGUGCCUCUUCAGGUUCCUCUUUCAGGUAAUUCUACUUUGAAGUAGUUUCUGGUCUACCGCUGCCUUGAUCGGUUAGUUUGCGCCAUUGUGGGACUUUUGGUUAGUUUGGAUUCAGCAAAGUCACACAAACCACAAACAAACUAACCUAUUGACCCAUGUACUGUAGGUUAUACACUGACCAUCCAUAAGUACCUCAUAACCCUCCUCGAAACACCCAACUAUCCCUUAAAGUCAACUUUCCCAACUAAAAGAACAACAGUCUGUUGUGUUGUAUUAUGGGUGUUUGUUUAAUGCAUAAUUCACAUCUGCAAACAGAACCUGCGAUGGGUAUUUUCUACAUUUCAUACGAUUAUGUAUAAUCGACUGUUCCAUAAAAGAUGCUACUGAGUACCACUCCUGUGUGAUAACAUGUACUUACAUGAUGAGAAAUAGAAGUCUAACUCUUAAUAAUUAACAGUAAUUAAUAAGUAGACUAUGGAGAUCCAAGUUUUUUUCAAUUCCCGCUUCCAUAACCCAUUUUUUCCCUCUUGAAAAUAUAAUGAAUACAUUCCAAACAAAACGGUUGUUUGUGUCGCAGACACCUAAGUCUAGGUUUUCUCUCGGGCUACUGCAGUAGCUGUUUCACAUCUACAGUAGGCUCUAUUGAUUUACAGUACAUGUAGAUAUCAAGCUCCGUGCGUGUGUCUGCUGCUGCAUCUGAACCACUCCUUUCUUCUCUCAAACAAACAUCUUCUUGUUUCAAUCAGUCUUCUGGAGGAUGACUUGCUUCUCGGGUCAAGCUAACAGCGAAUCAAACUAAUUGUUUCCCACAAUUUCCUGCUCUUAUUAAUGUCAGUUUCCAUUACUUUUUAGAUUUGAGGGCGCUUUACGCCACAGAAGGAUGCUUUUUGUCAGAAGUGCCCUCCUUGGAAGCUGGUUUCAGAUGGUGGCUUAGAGUGUUGUCAUCUAUCUAGCACCAUUUGAAAUCAGUGUUCUUGGGGUGGGAAGUAUUUCACUGGCCAGCAACAGGAAGUGUCGCAUGAGGUGUCCGGAGCUAAAGGAAUCACUUCUUGAAGCGCUACAAACCACCACUUGAUGACCAGUGAUGUUCUGACAGCUCAGGCUCUUAGUCCUUUCUCCAAGGUUGACCGAUUACUUUUGGUGUUCAGAGUCUGCUUAUGUUUCUAGCACCAUUUGAAAUCGGUUACAGUGAAGGACAGAUCUCAUCUUACCCUGUGGAGGAUUUAGCAAGUAAGCUGUGCUCUUUAUUUUACAGACUGUAGUACAAAUUACUGUUUAAUUACAAAUUAAACACAAUAACUCACCCUGGAUCUUACAUUGAUAUCUGGACUGAUGUUUGCAGUGGAGGAGGAAGUAUUCAGAUCCUUUUACUUAAAGUUAAAGUCACAAUACCAAACUGUAAAUAUACUCAUCGUCAGUGUAUAGGUCCUGCACUUUACUGAAGUGAAAGUACAUAAGUAUUUUUUGCUACAUGUAUGUAAAACAUCAAUCUGCAAAGUAACGAAACGGUCAAAUAAAUGUAGUCGUGUAAAAAGUACAAUAUUUCCAUUGAAAUGUAAUUAAAAAUAAGUGUUCCAUGAAAACAGGUGAGUUCAAGUACCUUGCAAAUGUACUUGGGUACUGAACUUAAGUUCAUGUACUUGUUACAUUCCACCUCUGGAUGUCAACUUGAUCAAGGGAUCAUUUGAAGAAUUGUCUAGUGAAAUCCACAAGGUGGCACUGUAGUAUAAAAUAUUAGUGGAAUUAUGUCCCAGCCAUCAUCGGGUCAAUCACAGGGAGACAAACAAUCAUUCACACAGCAACAGUGCUAACCACUGCAUCGCUGCGCCGCCCGGUAAACCAUGUUUGAUUUUCCAGCAUUUAUAGACUUGAAAGUGAAUUUUUCUAUUGCUGAUAUUUAGCAGUUUACUGCCCUAUAUUAUACAGUGGCUUAUUCAACAAUAACAUUAACUUGAUUUAUAUAGCAUCUUUAAAAACAGUUUGUAAAGUGCUUUGACAAAUAAAGCUGAAUACAUGGCGAUAUAAUAGAGCCUUAUCGCCACCUUUAGUUUGAGACCUCCACUUUGUUACAGCCAGAAGGUCCCCACCUGAAGAUCUACGGCUAUUCAAGGUUAGCCACACAUCUGUAAUAUUUAGUCAUAAGCAGAGCUUCUAUACAUUAAGAGUAUACUGUGAACGCAUCAUUGUGUGGCUCAUGGGAUCAGGUUAACCACUGACUGCAGGGUUGGAGGUUCAAUCCCUGGCUCCUGUCUUUGUCGAGGUGUGUUCCAGAUAGAUAUGCAGUCCAUAUACACAUUACAUUAUCGUUUCAUUACAUUUUAGUUGUUUGUAUUGAUUACAAAAGGUAGUGCCAAUACAAAAAUCUGCCUCAAUAUAAUACAAAAGUCUUGUGAUGUUCUGUUACAAAUGUUAGUUUAGUAACUACAGACUUAUGAGGCCAGUGUGCUAUAUUCAGUGAUCAGUCUACGCCAAAACAAUGCUAAACAUGGAUAAUUAUUCAGCAUAAGCAAUCUAAGGUAGACCCACAAUGAAACCUUCAUUAACAAACUUACAACAGUUAUUUUCCAUUCUUUUUUAGGUGUGAGGGCGCUUUACGCCACAGAAGGAUGCUUUUUGUCAGAAGUGCCCUCCUUGGAAGCUGGUUUCAGAUGGUGGCUUAGAGUGUUAUCUAUCUAGCACCAUUUGAAAUCGGUGUUCUUGGGGUGGGAAGUAUUUCACUGGCCAGCAACAGGAAGUGUCGCAUGAAGCACUACUCGGCUGGGCUACAAACCACCAGUGAUGUUCUGACAGCUCAGGCUCUUAGUCCUUUCUCCAAAGUUGACCGAUUACUUUUGGUGUUCAGAGUCUGCUUAUGUUUCUAGCACCAUUUGAAAUCGGUUACAGUGAAGGACAGAUCUCAUCUUACCCUGUGGAGGAUUUAGCAAGUAAGCUGUGCUCUUUAUCAGUAUGAUUUUUUUUUUUUUUUCCAUUGCUUACCUUACUUUGACUUUUCUUCAUGCCUUUUUUUAUUGCAUAUUUGAUGACGCCUCCCCUCAAGUUCAUUCAAGUCAAAAUGCUUUAGUCGUCCUUCAAGGGGCAAUUCAAGGCAAGGUCUUGUGCAAACAGAAAUAUAUAGUGUUUUUAAUGACAUACUAUAGGAUGACUUUUACGACUUUUUGGUGACGACUAUUGACUUAAAAAAAACCACUUUACAUGACUGACUUUUUAUACAUACUAUUCUAUGCCUUUGUCUCGACAUACUAUACUUUUUUAGGGCUAUUUGACACUCUUCUGACUUUCUAAACUGUUUCAUUUUUCAUGACACUUGAUGUACUAUGUUUUAUGAAAUACUACAACUUUUGACUGAUCCAAUUCUGUUUUAUAAACCACUGUCUUUUUAAAUGAUAUACCAUAUGUUGUGAACACUAUUGUGUGGGUGGUUGUGGUUCUGGAUGUCUCAGGUCUCACGUUUGAAAUGGUUCCCAAUGGUCAGCCACAUCUAGCCUGUGGUGUAUGAGUCAAUGGGAGAAUUGGAGGAGAAAAGUGUUAAUAAAGGCAGUACACUUGCA